GAACCCAGCCGGGUUCUUUAGGCUUCUAAGUGGCAGGCUUUAUGGGUGGCUGGGACAGGAGUGGCACCUGGAACCCUAGACCAUGAAAGCAAAGAGGAGUCUCGUGCUUGCUCCGGCAAGACCCAGAGACCAGAAGCAACUGGCCUGAGAUCACCCAGCAGCUUUGUGGCAGAGCUGGGGCUCAGUGUCCCAACUCCCUAUGGGGCUUCUCUGUGCAUCAGAGGAGAGAAGAGCCUUUAAGAUGUCCCCGGGUGAAAGCCAUCACAAAGCCACCCUCCACAAUGGAAGGCCCUAAUAAAAUGAGCCAGGGUGACUGGUGCUGACUGGCUGACCCAGUCCCCACUUACAGCCCCUUCUCUCUCCCAGUGGCUGGUGCAGCGUGGCCAUGUGACCCAGUUCUGGCCCGGAAGUCACAGAAGUCAUCAGGUGGGGCUAAUGGGGACAGUACCCAGCUCAUGUCCCUUUGGCUUUUUUUGCCUGCUCCUUUUCCCCCUUCAUGUCGUGAACUUACUCUCUGUGUCUGAGGCGAGCAGCUGCCCCGUGACCUUGAGGACAAGAGCCACACGCUAAGGAUGACCGAGCAGAAAGAGAAGAAGAGCCUGGGUCUCAAGGUCCCCUUCACCCUCUGUUCCAGCCCUGGGCUGCCUGCCGCAUCCCUGUUUCAUCCCUGUCUGCUCAAGCUGUGAUUAGCAGGAUUUUCUGAUGCUCACAGCUUGAAUGCAGUCCUAACAGCUCCAUCACCCACAGUGACAAGAGCAGCUUUUGGUGAAAUUCAUUUGAUAUUCACGUGGCUCACUCCCUGCUUCAUUUAGGUCCUUGCUCCCUGUCGCCUCCUCAGGGAAGCCUUCCUUGACCACCCUAUCUACCAUAGCAGCUCCCAUCCCUCUCCAUUCCUUUCCCUUGCGUUAUUUUUUAUGGCCCUUAAAUCAACCACUACAUGACAUUCUAUUAUGAAAUUAUUUGUUUUUUGCUGCUUCCACUGGAAUUAGUUCCGUGCGAGCCAGGCUCUUCUGUCUUUGUCACGGCUGUAUCUCCAGCGUCUAGAGCUGUCACUGGCACAUAGCAGGUCCUCAGUCAGUCUUAUUGAAUGAAUGGACAUACUCUGAGCCAGCCAGACCCUGAGCUUUGCCUCUGACAUCUGCCGGCUGUUGAUGAUGGCAAGUCCACUUGGUCCCUGGAAUUAGAAUUUCCGCUUCUUCUCAGGCUCCACAUCUCAGUACCCAGUGUGAAUUUCCAUUGUCAACCCCGCUGCUCCCCUGCUGUGACACCACUGGACACCCCAGAAACCAACCAGCUUGCCCAUAGGCUCUGCCAUGGCCAGCCCUAUCUCACGGGACAUCCACCCCGCCCAUGCCCAGCGAUGGCUGGUCACCAUCUUGACCUCACCCUUCUUCAUCCUUCUUCUCAAUGUCGUUGUCCUUGUGGGACCCCAGGCAGCAAUGACGUUGUGUGAGAACUCCUUGCUCUCCCGUCUUUGACAAUACAUCAAAAGCCAUUACCUCCUGGUUCUGAUUUCCAAGAUGGAGCCUCCCUCGCAGAGAACAAAACGAAUGGGUUAGGUGUGCCAGACCCCAUUUCCCGGCUACCCGAACUAAUCAGCAGCAGAAAUUCAAAGAAACUGCUAGAGCAAAUUGAGAAGCCAGAUUAUUUGGGUCUCUUGAUUGAGAUUGGAGGAGUAAUUGUUGGAGGGUUCCAUUUAAUAAGCUUUGUUUACUAACCCCAGAUCCUGUUUUAAUAUUUCUGCCUCAGUUACUGGGGGUGUGGCCACAAUGAAGAGAUAAUUUUGACAUCCUUGCUAACAGGGGUCUCAGAGCUCCUCCACCUGAACCCUUUCAUUUUAUAGAUGGAGACCGUGAGGCCCGGAGAGGGAAGGGAGCUUCUCAGGGUCCCCAGAGAUUAGACUCCCAGCCUGGGUGCUUUGAUUUCUGAGAAAACCAGCCGGAGGCUCAAGGAGCCUCAAGGGACGUCCUCCUGACGUGGGUCAUCAGUGCUUCCUAAAGGAGUUUAAAGAACUGAAUCUCCUAACUUGUUAAGGAAAUAGUUGGACGAAUAUGAUGGGAGGGGGCAGCAUGUCAUUGUCUCCAAGUACCUGUGUCUUCCUAGGAAGGUAAAAAUGGCUGCCACGCAGGUACCCCCUUCCGCCAAGGACGUAUCUUUACCUUGUAGUUACUGAGGAUGACACGAGCCGGAGUAUCACAGAGAGUCACCACAUGUGAGGGACAAUCUGGAGCACCUUCCAUGAGGACAGGAGAGGGGACUGGAAUUGCCCAGUUCUCUAGCAGCCAGGGGUGGAGUCCCGGUCUCCUGAGUUCCCCGUUAGGAUCCUGUUCCCGACUCCACUCUGCCCAGUGCAGCUCCCGGCGCCAGGAUGUCGAUCUGGCAGGCAGUGAGGGCAGACUCAGAUGGGCACCCCUGCAGAUGCCCCCCAGUUCCCCACGGGAGCCAGGGAACAGGGUGUAGAACAGACUGUGAGUUGGGGAACCAGAAAAAGAAAGAAGAAUCAUGGCCGGGCGAGGUCAGGGAGGUUUCCUUACGGAGGAAGGGAGGCUCUGCCCGUGAAGAAGGAGCAGAAUUUUGGGCAGCGUGGUAUUGGUUAUCAGUGGAAACCAGUGGGUGCAUGAGAGGCGCUCAGAGGAAAUUGAUUCAUCCUGCAGUUUUUUUUUUUUGGAACCUUUAUUAUGCACCAGGUCUUUACAUAUGCCAUUUCUUCUAAUCCUUACAUUGACCUUAUGAAGGAGGCAGUAAUUUUACUGCCAUUUGGCAGAUAGGGAAAGAGGUGCAGGGAAGUUAAUUGCCCAGGUUUACACAGCGGGUGGUAGACAGAGUUUGAACCCAGGAGUGGAUGUCUCCUUCCACUGUAGGAUAUGCAAAUUACUUAUCACUGGAGUCUUAAAAAUGGAUUGUCAUGGAUAGGUUUGUGGGUGGGCUCAGAGGAAAGGGGUUCAGGGUGCCAAAGAUGCCUUGGGCCGCCAUCACUGUUGGGUCCUUGCUCCCGCUUUCCUAUGAAAGCCCUUCCAACAUGCAAAGAAAGCUUCCUGCCCCCUCCGAUCAUUCAUGCAUUCGUUCUUUCGACAGUCAUAACCAGCACCUUCUUUUCUGUUAGGCCCUUUAGUAGAUAUUGGGAAUGUAAAGGUAAAAAAGGAUGUGGUCCUUUCCCCCAGAGUUGUCCACCAGGGACCAGAUUCGUCCCUGUUCCCUUUUAUAGCUCAAGCGUUACUCAUAGCAAAUGACUGUAGCGUCCUGAUCACCUUGGUCACUCAUCACAGAGUCCUCAGUGGGUCCAGCGCCACCACCAUCUUUACCACACUGAUACCACCUAAACUGACACCAAUUCUUUUAGCAGCUAUACACCAUCUUUAGUAAGGAAUUGGUUUAGAUAUUAUUCAAACUGCAGAGAUUUUAAACAAGAGCCCACUGCCAAGCCAAGCAUUUUCCAUUCUAUGCUGAGCCAGUUGACUGACCUUCAAUGGGAAACUUUACAUUUUUGUCUGUUAAAUUUCACCAUAAUGCAUUCAGCGUAUUUUUCCUAGCCUAUUAAAGAUUUUUCCCACUUAUGAAAUAUUUUGUAACUCAAGUGCUACUGCAAUGCCUGGAAAUGUGGAAAGUCUGCUUUUAAGAGUCUUCAUUCAAGGCAGUAAAAUGCAGAUUAGAGCAGAGACAAGGGUGGGCCCUACCACAUUUCACCAGAGACCAACUUCCAGCCAUUUGCUCCAUGUUCUUUGUAUGGGGUUGAUUAACCAGCUGUGAAUCUGCAUAUCUAAGCUCUCAUCUUGUCUCAUCUCUGCAUUUUGUUCAAAAGCUAGCAAGGAAGACUUAAGAAAAUGUUUGGCAGAAAUCAAAAUGCACGUGAAGCAUCUCAUCAGGAGGGGAGAUCAGAUGGAAAAGGCUUUAUUUAUAGUGUGCUUUGACAGACGGACCUUACCAACAAUCUGUAGGAUCUUUGUAGACGUGUAAAUCCAGUGAGAGACAGAACAGACACACAGAGACACAGAGGACGUGGCCAGGAGAAGACAGAGGCAGAGAUCGGAGUGAUGCGGCCACAAGCUGAGGAAUGCCUGGGGCCACCAGGGCUGGAAGAGACAAGGAAGGAACCUCCCCUGGAGCCUGCAGAGGGAGCCUGGCCCUGCUGACACCGUGGUUUCAGACUUCUGGACAACACAACUGUGAGAAAAUAGAGAUCUGUUG